rnacentral:rRNA from 1 species
AGUGAACGCUGGCGGUAGGCCUAACACAUGCAAGUCGAACGGCAGCACAGGAGAGCUUGCUCUCUGGGUGGCGAGUGGCGGACGGGUGAGGAAUACAUCGGAAUCUACCUUUUCGUGGGGGAUAACGUAGGGAAACUUACGCUAAUACCGCAUACGACCUACGGGUGAAAGUGGGGGACCGCAAGGCCUCACGCGAUUAGAUGAGCCGAUGUCCGAUUAGCUAGUUGGCGGGGUAAUGGCCCACCAAGGCGACGAUCGGUAGCUGGUCUGGGAGGAUGAUCAGCCACACUGGAACUGAGACACGGUCCAGACUCCUACGGGAGGCAGCAGUGGGGAAUAUUGGACAAUGGGCGCAAGCCUGAUCCAGCCAUACCGCGUGGGUGAAGAAGGCCUUCGGGUUGUAAAGCCCUUUUGUUGGGAAAGAAAUCCUGUCGAUUAAUACUCGGUGGGGAUGACGGUACCCAAAGAAUAAGCACCGGCUAACUUCGUGCCAGCCGCCGCGGUAAUAC